GAUCGAAACAUAUACAGAAGCAAACAAAGACAAAUAUAGCAACGUGAAUGUGAGGUAGCUCCUUUGUAACAGUUCUGAGCUUCUUCUUCAGUUCUAUAUAUCUCCAAGGUCGGCCACCCCCUUUCUCUCAGACUGUCCAAGCCGUCAUUCUUCUUUCUCUCCAAGCCCAACCCUUUUACCGAAGCCACUGAGGGUUGAAUCGACGGUCAGCGCAAUGUAGAGCAGAGAAGAUAGUGGCACAGCUGAUUGGCGUCGAGAUUGAACAAGGUUUCGCCCCUUUCUCCAAGCCCUAACCCUAGCUCCCUCUCUCAUUCGAACCCUAAAUUCGAAGGACACGAAUUGAGCUGUCCCAUAUCUAAAAACCCAAGCUUGGAUCCGCAGUUUAGUGUAUAAAUCAGUUUUUCCUGUGGGCUGGUCAAGCUUUGUUUGGGACUCUUACGCCUGACAUAAUUGUUCUCACUCUCUUGUACAGCAUAGCCGGGCUGGGUAUCGCCAUCGUAAAUGACUUUAAAAGUGUUGAAGGGGAUAGAACACUCGAACUUUAGGUUUUCUCCAUUAAUU